rnacentral:tRNA from 1 species
GCCGCCCUAGCUCAGUUGGUAGAGCGGCACAUUCGUAACGUGCAGGUCGCGAGUUCAAUCCUCGCGGGCGGCU